GGUGUGUUCAGGUGUGCACAGGUGUGUACAGGUGUGUACAGGUGUGUGCAGGUGAUCAGAGCUUACAGUACAUGCUUUGUGCAGGUGUGUACAGGUGUGUGCAGUGCACACCUGUACCUGUGUGUGCACAGGUGUGCACAGGUGUGCACAGGUAAACACAGGCGCACACCGGCACACACAGGUGCGUACAAGGGCGUGCAGUGUGCUCAGGUGUGUGCAAGGUGCUACAGGUGUGUGCAGGUGUGUGCAGGUGUGUGCGGUGAGUACAGGUGUGAGCAGGUGUGUGCAGGUGUGUACAAGUGUGGACAGGUGUGCACAGGUGUGUACAGGUGUGUGAAGGUGUGUGCAGCGAGUACAGGUGUGUGCAGGUGUGCCCAGGUGUGUGCAGGUGAGCUGAGCUUACAGUAAGUGUUGUGUACAGGCGUGUGCAGGUGUGCACAGGUGUUUACAGGUGUGGACAGAUGUGUGCAGGUGUGUGCAGGUGUGUGCAGGUGUGUGCAGGUGGUCGAGGUGUGUGCAGCGAGUACAGGUGUGCACAGGUGUGUGAAUGUUGUGUGCAGCUGUGCGCAGGUGUGUGCAGGUGCUCACAGGUGCUCACAGGUGCACACAGGUGUGCGCAGGGUGUGUGCAGCGAGUACAGGUGUGCACAGGUGUGUACAGGUGUGUUCAGGUGUGUACAGGUGUGUGCAGGUGUGUGCAGGUGCUCACAGGUGUGUGUAACUGUGUCCAGGUGUGCACAGGUGUGUGCAGGUGUGCACAGGUGCUCACAGGUGUGUACAUGUGUGUGUGUAAGCAUGCACAGGUGUGUCCAGGUGUGUGCAGGUGUGUGCAGGUGUGCACAGGUGUGUACAGCUGUGUGUGCAGGUGUGCACAGGUGUGUGCAGGUGUGUGCAGGUGUGCAUGCAGGUGCUCACAGGUGCACACAGGUGUGUGUAACUGUGUCCAGGUGUGCACAGGUGUGCACAGGUGUGCGCAGGUGUGUGCAGGUGUGUGCAGCAAGUACAGGUGUGCACAGGUGUGUUCAGGUGUGUACAGGUGUGUGCAGGUGUGUUCAGGUGUGUACAGGUGUGUACAGGUGUGUGUUCAGGUGCUCACAGGUGCUCACAGGUGUGUGUAACUGUGUACAGGUGCACACAGGUGCACACAGGUGUGCGCAGGUGUGUGCAGGUGCUCACAGGUGUGUGCAGGUGCUCACAGGUACCAUCCCCUCCCCCCCACGCCCCCUCCUCCCACCCCCCUGCGGUCCCUCUGCGUCCUGGGCGAGUCCUGUGACGGGGGCGUGUCCUGGGCGUGUCCUGGGCGUGUCCUGGGCGUGUCCAGGUGACCUGGGCGUGUCCCGGGCGUGUCCAGUUGUGUCCUGGGCGUCGCCAGGUGUGUCCAGGUGUGUCCAGAGCGUGUCCAGGUGUGUCCUGGGUGUCUCCCGGGCGUGUCCUGGUGACCUGGGCGUGUCAAGAUGUCCUGGGCGUGUCCUGGACAUGUUCAGGCGUGUUCAGGUGUGUCCAGGUGUGUCCAGGUGUCUCCUGGGCGUGUCCUGGGCGUGACCAGGUGUGUCCUGGGCAUCUCCAGGUGACCUGGGCACGUCCAGGUGUGCCCAGGUGCAUCCAGGUGUCUCCUGGGCGUGUCCUGGUGACCUGGGUGUGUCCUGGGCGUGUCCUGGGCGUGUCCUGGUGUGUCCAGGCGUGUCCCGAGUGUGUCCGGGUGCCGUGGGCGUGUCCUGGGCGUGUCCAGGCGUGUCCAGGCGUGUCCUGGGC